GAAGGCGAAAAUAUCAUACGCAAAGUCAAGAGCUCUAUAAAUUCUGUGUCUAAAACCAGGCUUGGACUUGGUUAAGACUGUGGUCAGCCUUUUUCCAAAGGAAAGAAAAAGGGCUGCCGGAGAAGGCUUUUGAGAGUGGGCUAUGAAGCUUCUUGGACAAGCAGUUGCUCUUACCAAACAGUGUGAUGAGGAAGGAAGGAAUGUAAGACAAAGGACCACGGACACUUUGCCCAUCAAAUGACCUGAUCAGUAUGAAGAGAUAGAUGGGGAGAAGACCAAAUUUAACAUCCGGCACAGUCGACUCCAGAUCAACUCCCAUUCCACGGAAAUACGAGUUCCCACUCCAGCCCAGCGUAACUGCAGCGGGAUUAGAACUCGCUCUGCCUGCCUCUCCUUCCAUGGCCUCCAGCUUGGAGUCUUCUCAGAGAGUACUGUGUAAUUUUGGGAAGGCUCCUCUUUGAAGCCUCGAGGACAGGUUUUCAUCACCCCUGCUAAUCAUAAGCGCGGAGCAUCCUAAUAUCCCAUUUGGAGAGAAGCCCCCCUUGCCAGCUUUCUCAUGAUUCCCAUUUCCUCCUCCCUAAUGAUCACGCUAUCUCUGAUCAGUAGCCAACAAACAAAGAGGGGAAAAAAGACGAAGAAGCCAGUUUUCUGCUCCUACGGAUCAGGUGACGCUGGUUCGAGGCUGUAUCUUUCAUUCUUGCUUUGAAAUGAAUCCUCCGGCUAUGACUGUCCAUUGUCCCAUAUCAGAGCAGUGUUG
rnacentral:lncRNA from 1 species